rnacentral:sRNA from 1 species
GUGAAAAUUACAUUAUAGCUUUCUCGAAGCCACCUGUAGCAACUAUUGUAAACAUUUUCAUCUUUCAAAUGAAGAUAAAUGAAUUCUAUAGAAAAUUUUAGAAAAUUAAUUUGUUAUUUAUGGUUAUGUCACUUUUAAUAGACAAUAUACGUAAGAAACACCUAAAAUACCUUCAAGACAUUAAUGUCGUCUUCUCAAUUGCUUGUUUCUGUUCUAACAGAUUACCCAUUCUGUUUCCACAAGCAAUGUAAUUGGAUUUACUAAGCAUGUUUAUGUUCAGUGCCUAAACUCUACUGGUGGGCACUCUCAGUACUCCUGGUUUCGAUCUGUACAUCAUUCUGCUUUCCGAGCUAGUUUUUCAGAGAUACUAGAAGGAAAUACUGAUUUUUCAAAUUUCAAAAAUGUUCUUUCCAAGUCAUCUUUGACAUUUGUGAAGAAUUAGGAGAUUUGCCAACCACUAAUGGAAACAAGCCUCAUGAAGUUUAAUGGUAUCCCUUCUCCCUCCCUUGUCAGCCUUCCUUCCUUCUUUGAAAGGAGAAGUCAUACUUUAAGUAGAUCUACAACUCAUUUGAUAUGAAGCAUUACCAAAAUCUUAAAUUAUAGAAAUGUAUAAACACCUCAUAGUCAAAUA